rnacentral:rRNA from 1 species
AACGUAGGACGCAAGCGUUAUCCGGAAUUACUGGGCGUAAAGCGCGUGUAGGUGGUUUUAUAAGUCACUGUUGAAAGCUCCCGGCUAAACUGGGAGAGGUGCGGUGAGACUGUAGAGCUAGAGUUUGGGAGAGGGAUGCGGAAUUCCAGGUGUAGCGGUGAAAUGCGUAGAUAUCUGGAGGAACACCGGUGGCGAAGGCGACAUCCUGGACCGGUAUUGACGCUGAGGCGCGAAAGCCAGGGGAGCAAACGGG